GUACUUACUCCUACGGGAGGCAGCAGUGGGGAAUAUUGCACAAUGGGCGGAAGCCUGAUGCAGCGACGCCGCGUGGGGGAUGACGGCCUUCGGGUUGUAAACUCCUUUCGACAGGGACGAAGCUUUUUGUGACGGUACCUGUAUAAGAAGCACCGGCUAACUACGUGCCAGCAGCCGCGGUAAUACGUAGGGUGCGAGCGUUGUCCGGAAUUACUGGGCGUAAAGAGCUCGUAGGUGGUUUGUCGCGUCGUCUGUGAAAUUCCGGGGCUUAACUCCGGGCGUGCAGGCGAUACGGGCAUAACUUGAGUGCUGUAGGGGAGACUGGAAUUCCUGGUGUAGCGGUGAAAUGCGCAGAUAUCAGGAGGAACACCGAUGGCGAAGGCAGGUCUCUGGGCAGUAACUGACGCUGAGGAGCGAAAGCAUGGGUAGCGAACAGGAUUAGAUACCCUUGUAGUCCAGGCAU
rnacentral:rRNA from 1 species